rnacentral:lncRNA from 1 species
UCAGUUUCCCGAGAAGGAGUUCUUGUAGUGAAGAGAAGAGAGUAGAGAGAAAGAGGAGAGUGGAAGGGAAGGUUGGAAUUCUUUUGAGAGAGUGAUUGUCACCUAGCAAGUAGUGAUCCCGUUGUCUAAGCGGAAGUAAAAGUUGUUUGGGGGAAGCUCUACCAAAAUAGAAAUUUGUCUUGAACGAUUAACCCCUGGACUACUGACACUCUGGACAACUGACCACUAACAUUUUCUCUCACAUUUUCCACUAGUUGUGUUUUUGCCAACUUUUGUUUGCAGGAUGUUUAAGAAGGUGAAGAAUGC